AUUGAACGCUGGCGGCAGGCUUAACACAUGCAAGUCGAACGAGUGGCGGACGGGUGAGUAAUGCUUGGGAAUCUGGCUUAUGGAGGGGGAUAACGACGGGAAACUGUCGCUAAUACCGCGUACCAUAGGAUGAGCCCAAGUGGGAUUAGCUUGUUGGUGGGGUAACGGCUCACCAAGACGACGAUCCCUAGCUGGUCUUAGAGGAUGACCAGCCACACUGGACCUUAGACACGGUCCAGACUCCUACGUGAGUCAGCAGUGGGGAAUAUUGCACAAUGGGCGCGAGCCUGAUGCAGCCAUGCCGCGUGUAUGAAGAAGGCCUUCGGGUUGUAAAGUACGUUCAGCGGGGAGGCGUUACCCGCAGAAGAAGCACCGGCUAACUCCGUGCAAGCAGCCGCGGUAAUAC
rnacentral:rRNA from 1 species